rnacentral:rRNA from 1 species
UACGAGGGGAGCAAGCGUUGUUCGGAUUUACUGGGCGUAAAGGGCGCGUAGGCGGCUUGCACCGUCAGAUGUGAAAUUCCUCGGCUUAACCUGGGGGCUGCAUUUGAUACGUGUGGGCUUGAGUGCGGAAGAGGGUCGUGGAAUUCCCAGUGUAGAGGUGAAAUUCGUAGAUAUUGGGAAGAACACCGGUGGCGAAGGCGGCGACCUGGUCCGUGACUGACGCUGAGGCGCGAAAGCGUGGGGAGCAAACAGG